GGCCGCUUGGUCUAGUGGUAUGAUUCGUCCUUCGGGUGGACGAGGUCCCGGGUUCGAUUCCCGGAGUGGCCC
rnacentral:tRNA from 1 species